GAAUGCACAAAAUAUGGAGAAAAACAAAACAAAACGAAACGAAAAGGUGGCGCUGAGAAGCUCAGGGACAAAAAGAGAAAAUCCCUUCAUGACCGGCAUAUUAACUAUAACCCACAUGUGGACAGAGAAGUGAAUCCCAGACUUGUUACGGCCGGCAUGUGUUCCAGAGGGGACCCGGAGAGGACUGUAAUCCACAUUGUGGAUGGUCGAGAACAUUUUAACACAAUUGACUGACAAAGGUU